rnacentral:rRNA from 1 species
CUACGGGGGGCAGCAGUGGGGAAUAUUGCACAAUGGGGGAAACCCUGAUGCAGCAACGCCGCGUGGAGGAUGACACAUUUCGGUGCGUAAACUCCUUUUAUAGGUCAAGAUAAUGACGGUAGCCUAUGAAUAAGCGCCGGCUAACUCCGUGCCAGCAGCCGCGGUAAUACGGAGGGCGCAAGCGUUACUCGGAAACACUGGGCGUAAAGAGCAUGUAGGCGGGUUAAUAAGUCAGAAGUGAAAUCCAAUAGCUCAACUAUUGAACUGCUUUUGAAACUGUUAACCUAGAGUGUGGGAGAGGUAGAUGGAAUUUCUGGUGUAGGGGUAAAAUCCGUAGAGAUCAGAAGGAAUACCGAUUGCGAAGGCGAUCUACUGGAACAUUACUGACGCUGAGAUGCGAAAGCGUGGGGAGCAAACAGGAUUAGAUACCCGCGUAGUC